UGAAGUUUCUUUUUCUUCAACAAUGGAUCUUGAUGGAACAAUGGACGAGGAAAUCAAUUCAGAUCUGGUUAAAGAGGACGAACAUAAAAGGAAACGAAUGAGCGACGGAGAUAGCCCGCAAUUUAAACGACCAAAACAAUAGUGUGAAGAAUGGCAUCAUUACCUGACAGAACAAUGUCCGAACCUAGCAACUCAAGAUGAAGAGGAAGAAGAAAAUUCAGACGGGGAGCAGAAUUUUGAUUAGGGAGAUGAAAGUCAUCAACAAGAUUGGGGAGACGAAACCUUGGACCUGGAUCAUCACUAUUGUGAUGAAAUUCCUGCUGUAAGUGAUGAUGACGACUUGGCAGACCUAGAAAUUUCUUUUGCCUCUACAAUUGACCUUACAAUGGACGAGGAAAUUAAUUUGGAUUUGGUUGAAGAGUUGGAAAAGAGGAAAAGGAUGAGCAAUGAUGGCCCAAUGCAAUAUAAACGCCAAAAACUAAACUAGUUUUACUACCCU